AGAGUCGGGGGAAACCCG
rnacentral:snRNA from 1 species